AUUGAACGCUGGCGGCAUGCUUUACACAUGCAAGUCGAACGGUAACAGGCCGCAAGGUGCUGACGAGUGGCGAACGGGUGAGUAAUACAUCGGAACGUGCCCGAUCGUGGGGGAUAACGGAGCGAAAGCUUUGCUAAUACCGCAUACGAUCUACGGAUGAAAGCAGGGGACCGCAAGGCCUUGCGCGGACGGAGCGGCCGAUGGCAGAUUAGGUAGUGGGUGGGAUAAAAGCUUACCAAGCCGACGAUCUGUAGCUGGUCUGAGAGGACGACCAGCCACACUGGGACUGAGACACGGCCCAGACUCCUACGGGAGGCAGCAGUGGGGAAUUUUGGACAAUGGGCGCAAGCCUGAUCCAGCAAUGCCGCGUGCAGGAAGAAGGCCUUCGGGUUGUAAACUGCUCUUGUACGGAACGAAACGGCUCUGGUUAAUACCUGGGGCUAAUGACGGUACCGUAAGAAUAAGCACCGGCUAACUACGUGCCAGCCGCCGCGGUAAGAC
rnacentral:rRNA from 1 species